AGUGAACGCUGGCGGUAGGCCUAACACAUGCAAGUCGAACGGCAGCACAGGAGAGCUUGCUCUCUGGGUGGCGAGUGGCGGACGGGUGAGGAAUACAUCGGAAUCUACUUUUUCGUGGGGGAUAACGUAGGGAAACUUACGCUAAUACCGCAUACGACCUACGGGUGAAAGCAGGGGAUCUCCGGACCUUGCGCGAUUGAAUGAGCCGAUGUCGGAUUAGCUAGUUGGCGGGGUAAAGGCCCACCAAGGCGACGAUCCGUAGCUGGUCUGAGAGGAUGAUCAGCCACACUGGAACUGAGACACGGUCCAGACUCCUACGGGAGGCAGCAGUGGGGAAUAUUGGGCAAUGGGCGCAAGCCUGAUCCAGCCAUACCGCGUGGGUGAAGAAGGCCUUCGGGUUGUAAAGCCCUUUUGUUGGGAAAGAAAUCCAGCUGGCUAAUACCCGGUUGGGAUGACGGUACCCAAAGAAUAAGCACCGGCUAACUUCGUGCCAGCCGCCGCAGUAA
rnacentral:rRNA from 1 species